UACGAAGGGGGCUAGCGUUGCUCGGAAUCACUGGGCGUAAAGGGCGCGUAGGCGACUAUCAAGUCGGGGGUGAAAGCCUGUGGCUCAACCACAGAAUUGCCUUCGAUACUGUUUGGCUUGAGACCGGAAGAGGUUAGUGGAACUGCGAGUGUAGAGGUGAAAUUCGUAGAUAUUCGCAAGAACACCAGUGGCGAAGGCGGCUCACUGGCCCGGUACUGACGCUGAGGUGCGAAAGCGUGGGGAGCAAACAGG
rnacentral:rRNA from 1 species